GACGAACGCUGGCGGCGUGCCUAAUACAUGCAAGUUGAGCGAUGAAGAUUGGUGCUUGCACCAAUUUGAAGAGCAGCGAACGGGUGAGUAACGCGUGGGGAAUCUGCCUUUGAGCGGGGGACAACAUUUGGAAACGAAUGCUAAUACCGCAUAACAACUUUAAACAUAAGUUUUAAGUUUGAAAGAUGCAAUUGCAUCACUCAAAGAUGAUCCCGCGUUGUAUUAGCUAGUUGGUGAGGUAAAGGCUCACCAAGGCGAUGAUACAUAGCCGACCUGAGAGGGUGAUCGGCCACAUUGGGACUGAGACACGGCCCAAACUCCUACGGGAGGCAGCAGUAGGGAAUCUUCGGCAAUGGACGAAAGUCUGACCGAGCAACGCCGCGUGAGUGAAGAAGGUUUUCGUAUCGUAAAACUCUGUUGGUAGAGAAGAACGUUGGUGAGAGUGGAAAGCUCAUCAAGUGACGGUAACUACCCAGAAAGGGACGGCUAACUACGUG
rnacentral:rRNA from 1 species